rnacentral:rRNA from 1 species
UAGGGAAUCUUCCGCAAUGGACGAAAGUCUGACGGAGCAACGCCGCGUGAGUGAUGAAGGUUUUCGGAUCGUAAAACUCUGUUAUUAGGGAAGAACAAAUGCGUAAGUAACUGUGCGCAUCUUGACGGUACCUAAUCAGAAAGCCACGGCUAACUACGUGCCAGCAGCCGCGGUAAUACGUAGGUGGCAAGCGUUAUCCGGAAUUAUUGGGCGUAAAGCGCGCGUAGGCGGUUUCUUAAGUCUGAUGUGAAAGCCCACGGCUCAACCGUGGAGGGUCAUUGGAAACUGGGAAACUUGAGGACAGAAGAGGAAAGUGGAAUUCCAUGUGUAGCGGUGAAAUGCGCAGAGAUAUGGAGGAACACCAGUGGCGAAGGCGACUUUCUGGUCUGUAACUGACGCUGAUGUGCGAAAGCGUGGGGAUCAAACA